AUUGAACGCUGGCGGCAGGCCUAACACAUGCAAGUCGAGCGGUAACAGAAAGUAGCUUGCUACUUUGCUGACGAGCGGCGGACGGGUGAGUAAUGCUUGGGAACAUGCCUUGAGGUGGGGGACAACAGUUGGAAACGACUGCUAAUACCGCAUAAUGUCUACGGACCAAAGGGGGCUUCGGCUCUCGCCUUUAGAUUGGCCCAAGUGGGAUUAGCUAGUUGGUGAGGUAAUGGCUCACCAAGGCAACGAUCCCUAGCUGGUUUGAGAGGAUGAUCAGCCACACUGGAACUGAGACACGGUCCAGACUCCUACGGGAGGCAGCAGUGGGGAAUAUUGCACAAUGGGCGCAAGCCUGAUGCAGCCAUGCCGCGUGUGUGAAGAAGGCCUUCGGGUUGUAAAGCACUUUCAGUCAGGAGGAAAGNUUAGUAGUUAAUACCUGCUAGUUGUGACGUUACUGACAGAAGA
rnacentral:rRNA from 1 species